CCCAAAGAAGUGAAGGAAGCUGCAAGAUAGGUAAAGUUAGGUAUUAACUAAAGAACGCCCUUUAAAGCUUGAUUAAGCCAUAAUGUAAAUAUAAUAAAUUAAAUGGACCAGUUCAAUAGCAUUACUGAACUGUACACAUAUUAAGGUAAAUGGACCAGUUCAAUAGCAUUACUGAACUGUACACAUAUGAAGGUAAAUGGACCAGUUCAAUAGCAUUACUGAACUGUACACAUAUGAAGGUAAAUGGACCAGUUCAAUAGCAUUACUGAACUGUACACAUAUUAAGGUAAAUGGACCAGUUCAAUAGCAUUACUGAACUGUACACAUAUGAAGGUAAAUGGACCAGUUCAAUAGCAUUACUGAACUGUACACAUAUGAAGGUAAAUGGACCAGUUCAAUAGCAUUACUGAACUGUACACAUAUGAAGGUAAAUGGACCAGUUCAAUAGCAUUACUGAACUGUACACAUAUGAAGGUAAAUGGACCAGUUCAAUAGCAUUA